rnacentral:rRNA from 1 species
AAGGAAUAGACGGGGACCCGCACAAGUGGUGGAGCAUGUGGUUAAAUUCGAAGAUACGCGAAGAACCUUACCUAGGCUUGACAUAGUGAGAAUCCACCAGAGAUGGAGGAGUGCCUGCUUGCAGGAAUUCAUAUACAGGUGCUGCACGGCUGUCGUCAGCUCGUGUCGUGAGAUGUUGGGUUAAGUCCCGCAACGAGCGCAACCCUCGUCGUUAGUUGCUAACAGUUCGGCUGAGCACUCUAGCGAGACUGCCUUCGCAAGGAGGAGGAAGGUGAGGACGACGUCAAGUCAUCAUGGCCCUUAUGCCUAGGGCGACACACGUGCUACAAUGGGGCGUACAGAGAGCUGCAAUACCGCGAGGUGGAGCCAAUCUCUAAAGCGUCUCUCAGUUCGGAUUGUAGUCUGCAACUCGACUACAUGAAGCUGGAAUCACUAGUAAUCGCGGAUCAGCCAUGCCGCGGUGAAUACGUUCCCGGGUCUUGUACUCACC